rnacentral:rRNA from 1 species
AUGGCAGCGGGUGGAGCUAUUACAAACAAGACACUUGAUGAAGCUUUUCUGCUGAUUGAGAGCAUAGCUUUCCACCAACUUCAGUGGUACAAUAAGAAGCCCACGUCUGAUUCAUUGGUUUGCUUGCAACAAAUCACUACACCUCAGCCACCAAUUCUUACACAGAAUCCUGAACCUCUAUCUCAGUGUGACAAGAUUGAGCUUGCAUGGAUUAUCUUUGACGAUGAUGACACCAUUCUAGUUGACACACACGCUACAGAUCAUAUGGAUACUAGUGUUGGAGACUCGGUUUUGCAUUGUGAUGAUUCUUCUAUUGAUGAGCCAGAGCUGCAGUUAGUUGUUUUUGAUAUUGAGGAGUCACCUUUAGUUGAUAUUGAUCAUGUGCUGCUAGAGCCAGAUAUGGAGAAGUUCACCUUCGAUGAUGUUAGCCGUAUUGCUUCCUCAACACUUGAGCCCGAGAUGGAGAGCUUCAUGGUUGAGUAUGGUGAGGUGGAUUCAGAUGUCAAGGAGUCAAGCUCUAUUUCACUUGUUGACAUGAAUCCGGUGGAAAUUUCUACUACCACACCUCACUUGGUAUCUUCAAUGGAGGUAGUCCUGAAGCUUCUUCCUAACUAUCUCAGGUUGAUGCUUGUGUACCAUUUACUGCGAGUUGACCGAGUUCGAGAUGACAUUCCCUGGAAUCCUGGUGGACUCAGAGCAUGGGGAUGA